UCCGUGCUUUUUUUCUUGAGCUAUCGAUUUCACCAUGUUGAUGCCAAAUAGAAUAAUCAGCCAUGAACCCGUUUUUGUAAAGGUGAAUACCCACUUCAUCUAUCGAAAAAUAAAAUGAACAACAACAUGCAAAGCAAGGGCACUUUAUUCUUUCACAUCCAAGUUUUUCUCUUGCACAUUUCAAGAAAUGAGGGACGCCAUUGCCAAAUCCCACCGUUAGAUGACCUUUUGAAUCUUGCCGGUUAUACAUCCAAGUUCGAUCAUCAUCGGUCAUUCU
rnacentral:lncRNA from 1 species